rnacentral:misc_RNA from 1 species
CUGCUGCAACCAUCAAUUUUCAUGUUCCGUGGGUUGUUUAUUCUCUUCUUUACGCAUACCCUUUUGCCCAAAGACAAAAUAAAAGCAAGCCAAACGCUGUCUUCUUUGCAGAUCAGAGCUUUAAAGACAACUUGGGUACUUUCUUAUAGCUCUAUUCUUCCAGAAGAUAUCUCUAUCUGUUUCUCUCUCUUAAUAUUACCUCAUGCUUUGUUUUGUAGCUUCCCUCUUAAAUGGGUAUGUGUAAGU